UACGGAGGGAGCUAGCGUUGUUCGGAAUUACUGGGCGUAAAGCGCACGUAGGCGGCUUUGUAAGUUAGAGGUGAAAGCCCGGGGCUCAACUCCGGAACUGCCUUUAAGAUUGCAUCGCUUGAAUCCAGGAGAGGUGAGUGGAAUUCCGAGUGUAGAGGUGAAAUUCGUAGAUAUUCGGAAGAACACCAGUGGCGAAGGCAGCUCUCUGGGACGGUACUGACGCUGAGACGCGAAAGCGUGGGGAGCGAACAGG
rnacentral:rRNA from 1 species